rnacentral:rRNA from 1 species
CAGUAGCCGCGGUAAUACGUAGGGUGCGAGCGUUAAUCGGAAUUACUGGGCGCAAAGCGUGCGCAGGCGGUUGUGUAAGACAGGUGUGAAAUCCCCGGGCUUAACCUGGGAACUGCGCUUGUGACUGCACAGCUAGAGUAUGGCAGAGGGGGGUGGAAUUCCACGUGUAGCAGUGAAAUGCGUAGAGAUGUGGAGGAACACCGAUGGCGAAGGCAGCCCCCUGGGCCAAUACUGACGCUCAUGCACGAAAGCGUGGGGAGCAAACAGGAUUAGAUACCCCAGUAGUCCCUGUCUCUUAUAA